AUUGGACGCUGGCGGCAUGCUUUACACAUGCAAGUCGAACGGCAGCGCGGGCUUCGGCCUGGCGGCGAGUGGCGAACGGGUGAGUAAUGCAUCGGAACGUGCCCAGUAGUGGGGGAUAGCCCGGCGAAAGCCGGAUUAAUACCGCAUACGACCUGAGGGUGAAAGCGGGGGACCGAAAGGCCUCGCGUUAUUGGAGCGGCCGAUGUCGGAUUAGCUAGUUGGUGGGGUAAAGGCUUACCAAGGCGACGAUCCGUAGCUGGUCUGAGAGGACGACCAGCCACACUGGGACUGAGACACGGCCCAGACUCCUACGGGAGGCAGCAGUGGGGAAUUUUGGACAAUGGGGGCAACCCUGAUCCAGCCAUGCCGCGUGCGGGAAGAAGGCCUUCGGGUUGUAAACCGCUUUUGUUCGGGAAGAAAUCCUCUGGGCUAAUACCCCGGGGGGAUGACGGUACCGGAAGAAUAAGCACCGGCUAACUACGUG
rnacentral:rRNA from 1 species